rnacentral:rRNA from 1 species
GUAGUCAUAUGCUUGUCUCAAAGAUUAAGCCAUGCAAGUCUAAGUAUAAACAAGUUUGUACUGUGAAACUGCGAAUGGCUCAUUAAAUCAGUUAUAGUUUAUUUGAUGAUAAUUUGCUACAUGGAUAACUGUGGUAAUUCUAGAGCUAAUACAUGCAUCACAAGCCCCGACUUCUGGAAGGGGUGUAUUUAUUAGAUAAAAGACCAACGCGGCUUGCUGCUCCUUUGGUGAUUCAUAAUAACUUGUCGAAUCGUACGGCCUUGCGCUGACGAUGCAUCAUUCAAAUAUCUGCCCUAUCAAUUUUCGAUGUUAGGAUAGUGGCCUACCAUGGUUUCAACGGGUAACGGGGAAU